UUCAUAAUUAAAAUUUUUUGAAAUUAUAAAAAAAAAUGAGAAAGUUUUUACUAAUCUACAUUUUGUUAGUAAAUUUUCAAGGAGUAACGCUUUUUAAUUUUCAAAAACAAGAUAAUGGAUUAAUGAUUGACUCCAAUUUUUAUAAUAAUUUAGAAAGAGCUCCAACUGAAGAAUUUCUAUUAGAUAAUAAGGGUCUCAACCGUCUGCAGAAUGUGAAUUGGCUUGAAGCAAUACAAGAAAUACUCAAAAAAAAGAAUCUUGAUAUGGGUAGAGAAAGUAAAAGACGUUAUUACACAGACAAGCUUUCUCCCUAUGACCCACCAGUAAAACCAAGAGGCCUGUUUUGCGGAUUCAAAAUAUGUCAACUACGCAAAAAAUGACUACAUCCAAGAAAGCCAUCUUAGUGAUGAAAAUUUAAAUUCAUACAUUUUUUUUAUAUAAUUAUAUGUAAUGUAUAAUAAAAAAACCAAACUUUACAAGCAUCAAGCCAAUUUUAUAAUUAAAUAUGUAAAUCUAUAAAAAUAA